rnacentral:rRNA from 1 species
UACGAAGGUGGCAAGCGUUGUUCGGAUUUACUGGGCGUAAAGGGAGCGUAGGCGGUUUGGUAAGCCCUUCGGGAAAUCUUCAGGCUUAACCUGAAAAGGUCGAGGGGGACUGCCAGGCUAGAGGACGGGAGAGGAGCGCGGAAUUCCCGGUGUAGCGGUGAAAUGCGUAGAGAUCGGGAGGAAGGCCGGUGGCGAAGGCGGCGCUCUGGAACGUUCCUGACGCUGAGGCUCGAAAGCGUGGGGAGCAAACAGG